CCGCAGGUCGCAGUGACAAGGGCGGGCCGACUGUUUACUAAAAACAUAGCCUCCGGCAAGCCCGAAAGGGUGUGUACCGGAGGUGACGCCUGCCCAGUGCCGGUACCUGAACCCCCCGUCCAAGGGGGCUAAGGGCCGGUAAACGGCGGGAGUAACUGUAACUCUCUUAAGGUAGCGUAGUCCCUUGCCGGUUAAAUGCCGGCUCUGCGAACGGCGUAACGAGCUCGCCACUGUCCUCGGC
rnacentral:rRNA from 1 species